CAGCUCUCCGAGUGGUAGGGAUGAUUAUUGGGCUUAAAGCGUCCGUAGCCGGCUUAGCAAGUCUCCUGUUAAAUUCAGCGACCUAAUCGUUGACCCGCGGGAGAUACUACUAGGCUUGGAGGCGGGAGAGGUCGACGGUACUCCUGGGGUAGGGGUGAAAUCCUAUAAUCCCAGGAGGACCACCAGUGGCGAAGGCUGUCGACUAGAACGCGCUCGACGGUGAGGGACGAAAGCUGGGGGAGCGAACCGGAUUAGAUACCCGAGUAGUCC
rnacentral:rRNA from 1 species